rnacentral:rRNA from 1 species
AUGAACGCUGGCGGCGUGCCUAAUACAUGCAAGUCGAGCGAACAGACGAGGAGCUUGCUCCUCUGACGUUAGCGGCGGACGGGUGAGUAACACGUGGAUAACCUACCUAUAAGACUGGGAUAACUUCGGGAAACCGGAGCUAAUACCGGAUAAUAUAUUGAACCGCAUGGUUCAAUAGUGAAAGACGGUUUUGCUGUCACUUAUAGAUGGAUCCGCGCCGCAUUAGCUAGUUGGUAAGGUAACGGCUUACCAAGGCAACGAUGCGUAGCCGACCUGAGAGGGGGAUCGGCCACACUGGAACUGAGACACGGUCCAGACUCCUACGGGAGGCAGCAGUAGGUAAUCUUCCGCAAUGGGCGAAAGCUUGACGGAGCAACGCCGCGUGAGUGAUGAAGGUCUUCGGAUCGUAAAACUCUGUUAUUAGGGAAGAACAAAUGUGUAAGUAACUAUGCACGUCUUGACGGUACCUAAUCAGAAAGCCACGGCUAACUACGU